UAUUUGUAUUCCUAAUCAAUCAAUCAAUUCGCAUUAAUAAUAUUUUGUAAAUGUUUGGCUUGUAAAAUCUGAAUCAUUCUAUUUCAUUUUCCACAGGAAGAUGAUGGUGAUGAAGAUGAAUGGGUAGAGGUUAAUGAAGGGUAUGAGGAGGUUGAUGAGGCAGAGGCAUAUGAUAUGGAUGAUGAUAUGUCUGAGCCUUCUCUUGGAUCAGGAGACAAUCGAAAUGACACAGAAGUUGAGGUCAAUGGCAAAGAGAGAGCAAAGAAAGGAGGAAAAAGGAAAAAGGCAGCAGUGGAUACUACUAAGGUGAAGGUGAAGAAAACGAGACUUAAACGUGCAGAAUGUUGGCAGCAUUUCAAGGAGGUCAAGGCUGUAAGCAAGAGGAUGCCAGGGGCGGUUGUUACGAAGGCAAAAUGUUGCAUUGUGCUAAAUUGUUUUAUUAUACUCCUGGGGGAUCAACUACUAGUCUCAAUAGGCAUAAAGAUGUUUGUUCAGUCUAUCUAAACAAGAAGGGAAGGCAACUACAGCAAGGUACAAUCAACUUUGAUCCUGAAAAGCCAGGUGCAUCUCUCAUAGUAAACCAUGAAUACAAUCAUGCGAAAGUCGUUAAGAUCAUAGCAAAGAUGAUAAUUGUGCAUGAUUAUCCCUUUAGAAUGGUAGAGCAUGCUUGGUUCAAUAUCCUCAUGAGGUAUACGAAUGCGUCCUACAAGUUCAUUGGUCGGAAGAAGAUUAGAGCUGAAUGCAUGAAGCUUUAUCUUUCCGAGAAAGAAAUCCUUAAAAAGCAACUUAAGUCUGUUGAAAGCAUUAGUUUGACAUGUGAUCUAUGGACUUCAAACCAAACUCUCUCAUACCUAGCUGUGGUCGCUCACUACAUAGAUGAUGAUUGGGUCAUGCAAUGUCGUGUUUUAGACUUCAUAGAGCUAGAUCCACCUCACUCGGGUAGUGUCAUAGCUCAAGCAGUUUUUGAGUGUUGCCAAGAAUGGAAAAUAGAAGAUAAGAUCAUGACAAUCACUAUGGAUAAUGCUUCCUCAAAUGAUAAUGCUGCCAAGAGAUUGAUGGACAAGAUCAUUGCUAGGUAAUCGGCUAAAUUUAUUCCUAACUACUUCCAUGUUCGCUGCUAUGCGCACAUUGUCAAUUUGAUAGUGAAUGAUGGCAUUGCUCUAUUGCAAACUUUGAUCAAUAAGCUUAGGGAUACUGUCAAGUAUUUGAAAAAAUCCCCAACAUGCAUGUACAAAUUAUUGAUGGUUUGCAAGUCUCUGAAUAUGGAAAUUGGGAGAGGUUUAUGCCUGGAUGUUGCUACUAGAUGGAAUUCUACAUGCAGAAUGGUAGAGGCUUGCACUGUGUAUAGAGCUGCUUUCAAGGAGUAUGCAGAGGUAGAUGCUACCUACAAAUGGCAGCCUGAAGAUGAAGCAUGGGCAUUAUAUGAGAAGAUUCAACCCAUCUUGAAAUCAUUUGCCGAGGUAACAACUGUAUUAUCAGGAUCUACCUAUCCUACUGCCAACAUUUUUUAUCCAUAUAUCAUGAAUGUUAAGAUUGCUAUCAUAGAGCAUGCCAUGGUUUCAAAUGCAAACUUGAAAAAGAUGGGAGAAGCAAUGCUUGAUAAGUUUGAUAAAUAUUGGGAUAGCAAUAGUGAAGGUGAGGGAAAUGAAAACAGUUGGAAAAACAAAAAAAGGAAAAGAACAAUGUCAUGGUCAUUGCCACCAUUCUUGAUCCUAGGUUUAAGAUGAAACUUGUUGAUUACUGUUUUAAGAAAAUGUAUGGUAAAGAGAAGGGCAGUAGUGAGGCCGAGGAAAUCAAAUCUGAAUUCUUUGAUCUCUAUGCUACUUAUGAGAUGGAAAAUCGCAAGAAUGAGGCUGGCAACAAUAAUGAACAGAGUUCAAUAUCUAGUAGGCAAACAAGUACAUCUAUGUCCUGAUUGUCAAGUGGGUUUCAGUCCUUCCUAGAGGAGACAAAUUCAGAGCCAUCUAAAUCUGAAUUGACCAGUUACCUUGAAGACAAAACCCAUCCAAUUCUGGAUCCAAAGUUCAGCGUAGUUGAUUGGUGGAGAUUGAAUGCUCAUAGAUAUCCUAUCAUGGCAAAGAUGGCAAAGAAGUUCUUGACUAUACCAGCAACUAGUGUCUCAUCAGAGUCAACAUUCUCUAUGAGCGGCAGAAUUCUUGAUGACUAUUGUAGCUCUCUCAGCCCAAACAUGGUUGAGGCACUUGUGUGUGCUUCUAGCUACAUUAAAGGAUCAAAAGAAAACCAACUUAAGCCUACAAUUGUAGUGGAAGAUGGCAAUGAUGACGAUGUCGAGUUCAUUCCAUUUCCUGAAGAUACGACGGAAAGUAACUAGAAGAUGAAUUGAUGAACUGAUGAGCAACUUAUGUGAGGAGCAGGAGCUACAUUGCAUUUCCUCAUCUAGCAGCUAUCAUUUUAUUUCGGUCAUUGUUAUUUAUGUAAGACCUUAUGUUUGAACUGUCGUGCUGAAGUGGCGAAGUAGUUAAUAUAAUAUGUACUGCUAGUCUGCUAAUCGAACUUGAUCCAAU